rnacentral:tmRNA from 1 species
GGGGCUGACUGGUUUCGACAGCAGAACUUGUGGAUGGGUAAGCAUGCAGAGAACGGCAGCGCGAUCUCUUAAAUCCCUUGCUGCAAAAUCUAACUGGCAACCAAGAGUAUGCUCUUGCUGCUUAAUCUGAAGUAAAGUAGGAUUUUAAGCGUUUUUCCCGAAGUAUAGUAAGGAAGCAAGAUGUCUUACGGAAGCUCCGUUCUACGGCGUCCGAGCAUAAGGCAUAGGAAAGGUAGAAAUAAGCUUUCGGCCGCUUUUGCCGAAAGACGAAAAUCUUUAAGAAGCUAAGCCGAAAAUUGGGUGUCUGUUCUCUGUUUUCGGACGAAAACCAAAAACAGAAUAAGCAUGUAGAACGCCUAUGUACUUUCUGUUUGGACGAGGGUUCGAAUCCCUCCAGCUCCACAG